CGUGCGCGCGGCGGCUGGGCCUCGGGCGGGCGGCGGGCAGCGGGCGGAACCAACCCCGACACACGACCCCGACCUCGACCUCGGCCCCGGCCCCGACCCUGCCCCCCAGACCCCGGACCCCGGCCUCCCCGACGGCCGCCUUGUCAGGAGUGGCGGUGUAAUUGCAAGAUGACUCACGCUGGAUGUUUUUAUUCUCCUGAGACCAACCGAGUGCUAGCUCAACUUUCAAGAUCCGGUUCAUUUUGGGGCCUCACCCGGGGAGUCUUGCCUAACUUCCAGCCUCUUGGUCCUCAGUGACUCUUCCCAGGACAAACCGGCAGUCUUACGUAUGUCCUGGAGAUGUUUGUCCCUGGAGUCUUGCGAUCAGAGUUGAGAACCAUGACUUCUUGAAGAAUCUGGAGGGAGCAGAAGUGACCGUUGGAGUCCUGAGCUCUCAUCAGGAAGAGACUUCCAGGCCUUCCUUGGCCUCCCUGGGCGUUCUCAGUGUCACACAGCUCCUGGGUCCGGCCCAGCAACAUGUCCUCUGUCUUAGCCAUGACGUGUGCGUGUGGCUUCUCUCAGGAUUCCCCGAAGCCUGCUGUGGGAGCUCAGGACAGAUUCCCAUGUGGAAAGGGCUGCACGGGACUGGGGUGUAGGCCAAACUACUUGGAACACUGAGCUCUUCUCCAAAAGCACUUAGUUUUCAGUGGGAAGCUGCCAGGGUGCCUUGUUCAAAAGGGGCGUGGACCUUGCAGGAUCGUUCCAACGAUUGUUCUCAAAGAGCCAUCUUAGGACCGUGAGAAGGUAAAGUGCAUGCAGAGAGGGACCUUGUCUUGCUCAUUUUGCUCAUCUCUGGGGGGCUUCCAGCAGUGCCUGGCUGGGGGGCGGGAGACACGUAGAGCCUUAGGUUGGUAGUUGAGCUUCUUAGCGCCGUCCCAGCCGUCCUGCAACAGGCAGAGCUCUGAGCCGGCAAGUGCGCCCCAGAUGGUCCAGACACUGUCAUUUCUGGUGACAGGGCUGGUUCUACCCAGUGGAGGCUGGGAGGCUUGUGGGCAAACUGCAAGCCAAAAGGCCACCAGCCUUCCUCCUUACCCUUCAGUAGAUGCCCAAACUGGAGAGAUGAUAUUAGGUUGUCCCAAGGUCAGCUUCCGGGGCGAAAUCAGCCAAGAUGCUGGCAGCUUUCCAGCUUCCGUAUAGUAUUCCCAGGUCAGUAGCAGGUGCCAGCCCUACCAAGCGACCGCACAGCAACGUCACACGCUUGACUCGGGCCUCCCCUCCCAGACCUCACUCAGGCUUCAGCCUGGUCAUCAUGCCCUCCGCCCACCGCAGCCUGGGUCAAAUUUGCUCUAGGAUGUCGCUUUUACCAGGAAUGAUGGAACAGCCUCAAGGUCUGUUGCUGCGAUUUCAGUGAGGCCAUGGGGACAGUCAUUCAAGUCCAGAGCUGCGCUAUCCCUUAUGACUGCCACAAGCCAGCGUACAGCAGUGGAAAUGGAAAGGAAUUAAAAUGAAAUGCAAUUAAAAUUCAGUUUUGCAUUCAUACUAGGCCACAGCUCAAGUGCUCAUGGGACUCAAGUAGUCACACAUGGCUAGCGACGCCCCUUCUGGCCGGCGCAGAAUGGAAGAUGUGCGUCACAGUGGGAAGUUCUAUUGGGUAUCGCUAGUCUCGAGUGCCCAGAGCCCAGGGCUGCGCGCCCAGCUGACGAGCGGCAAGCUCUCUUUCCAGGGGUGCUCAGACUCAGUGGCACCUGUCACAGCCCCUCUGCACCAUGACUAGGAGAACUUUUCCCACCGUGGCUGGGAAAGGAGGGUAACAGUGUCUCUGCUCCUAUACUUGUUAAUGCAGAGACGCAGGGCAUCCCUACUUGUUACAAGGUUGCAUUAGGUGGAACCACAUGAAAUUGCCUUGUGUGUAGGUUAGAAUGGGUUGAAUGGCAUCAAUUUUGUAAGGCUCAGCUUCAUACAAGAGGAAGGGGAAAGAGUGACAGAGAUUCAGGGCCAGGAGGAGCAUCUGUGGCUUUUUCCUCUUUUAGUCCUGUCUUUGAAUGCCUUGGGUUGAUGAGAGAGAGUUUGAUCUCAGCAAAGGGUGGUUGACUGACAGCCUGUUUGUUCCUUGUGUGCCACUGCUGCAUGAGGAGAAGUGCCUGUGUGUCCGUGGAGUGUAGCGGAAUAGUUUGGAUGUCUACAGCUCUAAGACAGCCUGAUUUGUGCAGAUGGUUUUCCUGACCAGCAGCCCAGGGAUGGCCAUCCUGAAGCUGGGUCAGUAGCUCCAGAACAUUAGGGCUCUGGGUUGGCGUUUCUGCUCUUCUCCUGGCCUUCCCCUCUCGGUUCACAAGGUGGCUGCAACAGCUCUAGCCAUCAUGUCCCCAUACAACUGUGCCCAGAGGCAGGUGCUGGGAGUGGGCCAGGAUAGCAUGUGGGCUCUCUGUACGAACCCUCUUACUUUCAGAGAGGAAAAUCUUUCCCCAAGCCAUAUGUCAUGGCAGAUUUUCCCUCUCGCUUAUUGACCAGAGCUUGUUAUGAUCCCAUCCAUGAAAUAGUAUGUUAAAAGAGAAUGUGUUUAUUAAUUCUGAUGUGGUGAUUUAUGCCCUGACACCAGGCACAUUGCCAAGCAAACAAAAUUGAGAUUCCACCAGCUGGGAAGAAGAGGUAGCAGGAAUGGACCCGGGGUGGGCAAGUCAUAGCAUUCCCCACAAGUUAUUAACACAUUUCCAGUUCGUAAAUGACUUCGUUUGCACCUGCCCCACAUCCAUUCUGCCUCUUUCAGGGAUGCACACAGCUUUCCUUUGGGCGUGGAGGGUGGUGGGAGAUGAUUCUGCCCCCAUCGUUCUAAGGGUGGGAACGUGAUCCAAGCCAGGUGGUGGGGCUCAGUGUCAAGACUUCUGUCUGAGUUUUGGGAAGAGAUGUGUUUGCCUCACCAUGGGGUGUCUUAGAAGGUAGCAUGCCAGCCGGACUGACUGCUGGCUGUCUGCCAAAUGAAUCAGGGAAGCUAACACGGAGGAGAGGGGAAUGGAAGGUGGUGAGAGACGGGUCCAGAUGAAAUUGCUGGACAGACUUCUGCCUGGACCCUUUGGUUACAUGACCUGGUUAGACCACCCUCCCUGAUUCCCUGUGUUCUGUUGCAUCUGUAAGCCCAUCUGAGCCAUGGAAGACUCCUGCUGGGAGUCAGUGCCUAGCAGUGACUUCCUGCUGGAAGUUCCCAGUGAGUUUCUAUGAAAAAGAGAUUAACUUCUCUCAAAGUUUGUCCAUUUGGGAGAGAAAAAGAAGAAACAUCUGUCUUUGGUUAAAAAAAGGCCCUUUCUGCCUUUGGUAGCUGAGAUCCAGGUAAUGCUGUGCUUUGUAGGACAGGAAGCAGCAAGUUUUCUGUCCUGCAAUGAAGGUCAUUCUGGAAGAAGCAGGAAGACCAGAAACAGAGCAGAAGAUAAGACAAACCAACGAAGGAGCCAAGGCCACUCAUCCUCUUGGCCAUCAAAGACCGUACUGCAGGGUGAAGAGCUGUAGGACCGAGGAUGCCAUAGCCCAUGUAACACACAAGCACCUUAUGUCCGGAACUCCUGUAACUAAACAAGAGAAGAUAACCAGUCCCAUAGCAAAGUGGACAUUUCACAAGAGGGGAUAAGCAAAUCAACAUGGAAAGACGCUCAGCCUCACUUGUCAUCAGGAAAACACGAUGGUGGCAGUAGGAGACCUCAGUACAUGUUCCACCAGAAUCCCUAUGGGGAGAAACCCAGGCCUUGCCCCUGGAGCACCUGCUGGAGCAGUUGCCCCCUGCUGGUGGGACAUGAGCAGGGACUUAGCAGAACAGAGCAGUAUUUCUGAGAAGAGUUGAAUGUGCGCGUAUCUAAGCAAUUCUGCUCCUGGGUACAUAUGUGGUUUUAGUGAUGUUGUUUGUGACAGUCCCACACUGGAAAGACUAAAUGUCCAUCAACAGUACACUGUGCAAAACACUAUACACCAAUGAACAGGAGCCAGCUAUUACUACGUUCAACAGGAACGGAGCUCACAGGUCCAAGGCCAGGGACUUGAAAGAAGGCAAGAGAGCUAUCAACGUGCCCGUUAUUUGCAAGAAGAAAUGGCUGUUUCCACCCUGAGUGAUUAGAAGGACCUUGGGCCUCGUCCAGGUUCACACAGGACCUCUGUGGACUUCGCUGCCGUGCAAGGGGAAGGUUGGACCCAGUGAAGGACACUUGCUGGAAGAGGACAGAGGGGACUCCACAGCCC